UACAGAGGGGGCAAGCGUUGUUCGGAAUUACUGGGCGUAAAGGGCUCGUAGGCGGCCAACUAAGUCGGACGUGAAAUCCCCAGGCUCAACCUGGGAACUGCGUCCGAUACUGGAUGGCUUGAAUCCGGGAGAGGGAUGCAGAAUUCCAGGUGUAGCGGUGAAAUGCGUAGAUAUCUGGAGGAAUACCGGUGGCGAAGGCGGCAUCCUGGACCGACAUUGACGCUGAUGAGCGAAAGCUAGGGGAGCAAACGGG
rnacentral:rRNA from 1 species